rnacentral:rRNA from 1 species
AACGAACGCUGGCGGCAUGCCUAACACAUGCAAGUCGAACGAGACCUUCGGGUCUAGUGGCGCACGGGUGCGUAACGCGUGGGAACAUGCCCUUAGGUUCGGAAUAACUCCCCGAAAGGGGUGCUAAUACCGGAUAAUGUCUUCGGACCAAAGAUUUAUCGCCUUUGGAUGGGCCCGCGUUGGAUUAGCUAGUUGGUAGGGUAAAAGCCUACCAAGGCGACGAUCCAUAGCUGGUCUGAGAGGAUGAUCAGCCACACUGGGACUGAGACACGGCCCAGACUCCUACGGGAGGCAGCAGUGGGGAAUAUUGGACAAUGGGCGAAAGCCUGAUCCAGCAAUGCCGCGUGAGUGAUGAAGGCCUUAGGGUUGUAAAGCUCUUUUACCCGGGAUGAUAAUGACAGUACCGGGAGAAUAAGCUCCGGCUAACUCCGU